GGAUGUGAGGGCGAUCUGGCUACAACAUCUGUCACCCCAUUGAUUGCCAGGGUUGAUUCUGCUAAUCUGGCUGGCUAGACGGGUGUCCCCUUCCUCCCUCACCGCUCCAUGUGCAUCCCUCCUGAAGCUGCACGCUCGGUCGAAGAGGACGGCCUUCCCCGAAUAGAGACGGACUGGUCUUCGGUCGAGGGUAUACGAGUAGAGUAGCUGCGGUCCCCUGCUAGAACUCCAAACAAGCUCUCAAGUAGCUUGAAUAACUCCAGAUACAAAUUUCCUAAUUUUAUUAAGUGAAUAAUUUGUAUAUAUU
ensembl:misc_RNA 7SK 7SK RNA